UUUAAUUCGAUUUAGAAUCGUUUAGAAAUCCAAUUCUACCUAUGAGAAUAAAUGACCCACUUAACUCAGUGGUUAGAGUAUCGCUUUCAUACGGCGAGAGUCAUUGGUUCAAAUCCAAUAGUAGGUA
rnacentral:tRNA from 3 species